AUAGUGGAACAUGGAAGAUGUUCAACUGAUGUACAAAUUAAUGGGUAGUUAAAUUAGGAAUUGAAUUCUAGAAUUAGUUAGGAGUAAAACAUUCCCAUUAUGUAUGUAAUUGGGAAAUGUUUUAUAGAUAAAAAGAAACAACAAACUGAUUCAAAAAUAAAAUAACGUGACAUCUGAGUUUCAUUGGAAAGAUCUGACAGUAUGACCAUAUCGUAUCUGAAAUGGCCUGUACUAGGCAGUCUGCUGCUCUCCCUGGUGUUGUUGGUGAUGAGGACAACUCAUAUCAUGGAUAGUGAUCUACCUGCCUCACAUACUGAUCCAUAUGAUGAGGACAGAUCUACGGAUAUAUCGGAUAGUCGCCGCAGUAACUGGGGUAGUGACAGUCGAGAUGUUGACAGCAGUGAAAUUCUCACUGUAGAUAGAGUCUUUCCACUAACCAGAACAUUAAACCAAGUCUUUGAAUACAUUUGUAGAAGAUUUUCACUUUACAUGCGACUUGAGAAUAAAAAAAUACUUUAUCUGAAGAACAACUCGUUGAAUUUUAAUCUCACUACAGGAAAUAGUGGUAAAAGAUUUUUUGCUACAAAUCCUGUGAUUUCAAGAAUGGAUUCAAUGAGAAGACUUGGAAAUGCAUUUGUUUCUAUAAACACAGAUACCGCAAUAGUUUUAGUGCAAAAGUUGAGAUUUAAAAUACUCAAAUUUAAGUACGAUUAUUAUGACAGUGACUUAAACUUGUUUGGUCAUUCAUCUUUUAUUCUGCUCAAGAAUACUUUCUUGCUAAAUGUGACACUCUCUACUAAUUAUGACAAUAGUGAAUGUAAACUGGACACCGUUGACUUGGUCUUUAUUCCUAAUGAAAGAUCAUCAUGUAUUCUAAAAUGUGUGGGACCAAUUGAGGCAAUUGGUGUGUAUGACACCUUGAAGUCUAAAUUGUACAAUACAUUUUUGACGGAAAUUCUGAAAGAGAUAAAGAGUGAAAUUAUGCCAAUCUUGGUGAAAGUGGUGAAUCAAUCUAACAUCUGCUGUUAUUUUAAUGGUAAACACAAGAAAUCUAAUGCAAUUUUUGAUUUCUUAAGUGGUAGUAUAUUUGAUGGGUGAAAACUGAAAAAAGUACAUGAAGCAGUGUGAUGUUGAUAACCUGGUUGUGUUUAAAAGUCUUUAAAAUGAAAACUGAAAUUUUGAAGCAAUCUUCUCAAGACCCAUUUGUAAAGAAAAUGAUGUUAUGACGUGAUGCAUCAAGUGGUCUUACCCACCACCACCAAACACUACCAAUGAUCUAAUCAUAUGAACAAUCUGCUUAACAUCAAUCUAUUAAGGAUGUUUACUAUUUAUUUGUAGUGGUUUAAAUCAUGCAAUGAUAUUUAAAUUUCAAUGCAUUUGACAUCUGCGAUGAUCCACCUUUUGAAAACAAAGGAAGCCAAAUUAACAUGAAAUAAAUGUAUAAGCAGAUCUGAUUUAACCCUCCAGAGACCAGGAGCAAAGUGUAUUCUGUAAAAUCUAUACAUUGAAACUUUUACUGACGCUACCCCUGAUUCUAAAAGGAUUAAUUAAGCUUUUUAAAUUUUAGAAAACAAAAAUGCUAACUAUUUUAGUUAAAACAUUUAUUGUGAAUCUUGGAUUUGACAUUAACAUUUAUCAUAGAUCUUGGAUUUGAUAUCAUCAGUGCGACAGAGUAUUGUCUGAGCGAUCAUCACCAUAAGCGAUAUAUUUUGUGUAAUUAAAUAUAAUGCACAAUGUUUUCUUAACAUUACUUCAAACCUCUAUUUACUAUUCAUUUUUAUAGAUUCCAGUUGGACAAACACAGAUUCAAAAAGUUUGUUUUUCCAACUUUCUGUUUAACAUCAUAAAGAAAAAAUUAUGGGUUCGUAUGUUACGUUAUUAAUAGAAUGGUCAAUUUUGUAACAUAUUUUGAACCGCCACAACUGAAUGGUGAAUAUCUUUAACAGAUUGCUUUAACAGUAGAAAUUUGUAUUCUUAAUUUUGUCUAUUAGAACAGUAUCACAAUGAAGUAAAGGUUUUUAACAUCAAUUGCACACAGUUGUUACAGCAGUAGGGGCACCACAUUAUGUAUAAACUAAAAUAUUUCCUUAUUUACCAUUAUAGAUUUUAAUAGAGUUUGCCAAGUGAAGAAAAGUUAGAUUACCAAUAACAAAAACAUCCCGUACAAUCAGUAAUUUUAUUAAAAUGAAUAUUUUACUUCUCUAUAAACCCUAUUUUGUUGGGUUUUCUUGGUGCUUUCAACUUACAAAAUGUGCUAUGUAACACCUUCACUGUGACAUGGGUUAUGUACUGACUUUAGGUCAGUUGGGAUAGUCGAGAGGUGCGUCCAACACAGUCCAAUGUGUUAAACUUAUAAAAAUCUGUAUCUGUUCAUAUGAGUAACAAUUUACAACAAAUUAAGAUGUAUUUAUAAAACAAACAAAAAUAUUUAGCUAACUAUUUUGAGUUUUUUUAUGGCUAUGAAACAUCAAAAUAGAUCUAAAGCUUUUUUAUAAACAUGGCUAGGGGGCAAUUGACCAUGGAUAGGGGGGUUUUCAUUGCUUCCUUCCUUGCAGUCAUAACACUGAGACUAUCAUACAAUAUAAAAUCUAUUUUUAAGUGCAUUGGGUGUUUUAUGGGUAUUGUGAGGAAUCUCUGACAUAAGAGCCAUGAUUAUUUCCUAUAAUUGUGAAAGCAAUUUGUUCGAUUCAUUUGUUUAAAAUUUUUAUGAAUAAAAGGACAACCAUCUGUGAUUGAAGGAAUUCUUAUCACUCCAAAUCACUGUCCUUACUAUUCAGUUCACUUCUAACCAAUCAGAAAGAUUUAUACUGAUCCCUUUACAGGUUAUAGUUAAAAUAUCAAGCACCAAGUUGAUUCCUAUGACACAUAUUUGGAGAUUUCACAAUCAAAAUUUCAACCACCAGAUAAUUCAAAUUGGAAUA
rnacentral:lncRNA from 1 species